UGGGGAAUAUUGCGCAAUGGGCGAAAGCCUGACGCAGCGACGCCGCGUGAGGGAUGAAGGUUUUCGGAUCGUAAACCUCUGUCAGAAGGGAAGAAACCGCACUGUGCUAAUCAGCAGUGCCUUGACGGUACCUUCAAAGGAAGCACCGGCUAACUCCGUGCCAGCAGCCGCGGUAAUACGGAGGGUGCAAGCGUUAAUCGGAAUUACUGGGCGUAAAGCGCACGUAGGCUGCGUUGUAAGUCAGGGGUGAAAUCCCACGGCUCAACCGUGGAACUGCCUUUGAUACUGCUUAGCUUGAAUCCGGGAGAGUGUGGCGGAAUUCCAGGUGUAGGGGUGAAAUCCGUAGAUAUCUGGAGGAACAUCAGUGGCGAAGGCGGCCACCUGGACCGGUAUUGACGCUGAGGUGCGAAAGCGUGGGGAGCAAACAGG
rnacentral:rRNA from 1 species